rnacentral:rRNA from 1 species
UACGUAGGGGGCAAGCGUUGUCCGGAUUUAUUAGGCGUAAAGCGCGUGUAGGUGGCCAUGUAGGUCCGCUGUGAAAACUCGAGGCUCAACCUCGAGCUGUCGGUGGAAACCACAUGGCUAGAGUCCGGAAGAGGAGAGUGGAAUUCACGGUGUAGCAGUGAAAUGCGUAGAGCUCGUGAGGAAGACCGGUGGCGAAGGCGGAUCUCUGGACGGCCCCUGACGCUGAGGCGCGAAGGCUAGGGGAGCAAACGGG